rnacentral:rRNA from 1 species
AGAGUUUGAUCCUGGCUCAGGAUGAACGCUGGCGGCGUGCCUAAUACAUGCAAGUCGAACGCUUUGUUUUUAAUUGAUAUGAAGAGCUUGCUCUGAUUUGAUUUUAUCUGACAAAGAGUGGCGAACGGGUGAGUAACACGUGGGUAACCUACCUCUUAGCAGGGGAUAACAUUUGGAAACAAGUGCUAAUACCGUAUAACACUAACAACCGCAUGGUUGUUAGUUGAAAGAUGGUUCUGCUAUCACUAAGAGAUGGACCCGCGGUGCAUUAGCUAGUUGGUAAGGUAAUGGCUUACCAAGGCGAUGAUGCGUAGCCGAGUUGAGAGACUGAUCGGCCACAAUGGGACUGAGACACGGCCCAUACUCCUACGGGAGGCAGCAGUAGGGAAUCUUCCACAAUGGGCGCAAGCCUGAUGGAGCAACGCCGCGUGUGUGAUGAAGGGUUUCGGCUCGUAAAACACUGUUAUAAGAGAAGAACGACAUUGAGAGUAACUGUUCAGUGUGUGACGGUAUCUUAUCAGAAAGGAACGGCUAAAUACGUGCCAGCAGCCGCGGUAAUACGUAUGUUCCAAGCGUUAUCCGGAUUUAUUGGGCGUAAAGCGAGCGCAGACGGUUAUUUAAGUCUGAAGUGAAAGCCCUCAGCUCAACUGAGGAAGGGCUUUGGAAACUGGAUAACUUGAGUGCAGUAGAGGAAAGUGGAACUCCAUGUGUAGCGGUGAAAUGCGUAGAUAUAUGGAAGAACACCGGUGGCGAAAGCGGCUUUCUGGACUGUAACUGACGUUGAGGCUCGAAAGUGUGGGUAGCAAACAGGAUUAGAUACCCUGGUAGUCCACACCGUAAACGAUGAGUGCUAGAUGUUGAGGGUUUCCGCCCUUGAGUGUCGCAGCU